rnacentral:rRNA from 1 species
UACGGAGGGGGCUAGCGUUGUUCGGAAUUACUGGGCGUAAAGCGCACGUAGGCGGCUUUGUAAGUUAGAGGUGAAAGCCCAGGGCUUAACCCUGGAAUUGCCUUUAAGACUGCAUCGCUAGAAUUGUGGAGAGGUAAGUGGAAUUCCGAGUGUAGGGGUGAAAUUCGUAGAUAUUCGGAAGAACACCAGUGGCGAAGGCGACUUACUGGACACAAAUUGACGCUGAGGUGCGAAAGCGUGGGGAGCAAACAGG